CCUCUUCCCCACCCAGACCCCUCCCCGCCGCACUUGCUGGGCUCCGCGCCGGCUGGGCAUUUCAGCUCCGGUUGCGGGAGCAUCGCUAGCCCUACCCGCUCCCCCCGCUCCCUCCCCCGCGCUGCUGGAGAUCCUCGCCGAAAGUAUCAGGAUGCCUGAAAUACUGGGCACCAGCAGCACAGAGACACAGAUUCCCGAAAAAAAAAAAUUAAAAAAAAAAAAAAGAAGACCUGAAGCUCCAGACCCCACGUAAGUGGCCCCAUGCCACCCCGGUGCCACUGCACACGCAGGAGCGAUGGCAGGACGGUUUGCACAAACAGCUUCUAGGCUCUCACUUAGGGACUUCACGGAGCUCAACACAACCAGAAGUUGCUUGGACAUGCAAGACUGAACCUUCUCUUUUGACCCCUAAUAUUGUGUUCAAUCUCCAGAGGUAACUUGAUUUUUCAACAGUAACAACAAAAUAAUAAAUUAUGAUACUCUGUAUAUGUUUAAAAUCCUGAAACUUUAAUACAGUGUUUUCACUGUCAUGAAAUUCCCUUUCCUGGGGCUUUCUUGCUACUGAAUGCAAGUAUAUUAUUGACUUUGCAUAUGGGUUUUCAGAAAAAGUAAUUAAUUACAUAUAACUUGGAAUAAUUCUCUGACAUAUUUCAUUCAACAACAAAAAGUUUUCUUCUAAGUAUCAGCUACACUUGAGAUUGUUCUAAAAUGUAUUCUUUUUUCUUUUUUUUAAUCUGUCUGAAAUUAAUGUUUUACCAUUGGAUAAAGAUGUUUAAUUAGCUUCUCUGAUUUAAAAUGUGGGGGUGACAAGAAUUUGCUCUGAAACACGAUAGACAAAAAGUAUGAGCAAUGAAGCAUGGAAAUAACAUUG